UUCCGCGCGUGCCUGGCCCUUGGCCGCGCCGGCGCCUCGGAUUGGCCGCGUCCGGGUCACGUGGCCACGCCGCGGCCGCGCCCCCGCCCCGCCGCCCCGUCCGGCUGGCGGCGCCCCGCCUUGGUGGUCUCGCUGUCGCCGCGCGGCGGGGGCGGGGGCGGGGGCGCGGCGUGGAGGGCAGCGCGGGAGGGCAGUCAGCGGGCCCUCUCCCUCCAGAGGUGCAGCCUGCGCUGCUGCCGCCGCCUCCUGCCCCGCCGUCCUCCUCGCGGACGGAACGACCGGGGCGAGGUCAGCGCGUCCGUGGCCCGAGCGUCGGCCUCACUGAGAGCAAGAGCCGGGGCCACCAGGGUCCGAGCCCUCCUCCCCGCACUCACUCCCCUGCCCUCCCGCCCCAGGAGGAGCCCCGGGACGGAGAGGGGCCUCGGCCGACGGACUGCAGCCCCUGCAGCUGGCGCCACGAGCUCCAGACGCUAUCCCUGGGGAGCACCCAGGUUCCCUGCAGACCUGAGGGGUAUGGUCCACAAAGAGCCACCCACCUGUUAGCCACAUCCUUCCGGGUGGGAAGCACACUUCUCUGGGACUAGGGGUAGGAGGAGGAGGUUGGGAGUGCCCUUCCUUCCUCUUUCACCACACCCUCCUGCUGCUCCAAAUCAACCAGCACUUACUAAAUGGGCGUCUUAAACAAGUGGCCGAUUCCAGGGCCAGGACAGGGAAAAGGCAAUGAGCUUGGCUCCUCCUGUGUCGCUAGGAAGGAAGGAGGUGCUCACAAAAUGAAGUUGGGUUGUACAGGGACUCCGCCAACCUGAAGGAGCUCCUAGGGACUAAAGCUGGAAGAAUAUGAGCAGCGAAGUAAAUAAUAUGGAAUUGUAACUCAGAGAGUAACAUAAAUACCCAAGAGUCCAUAGUGAUAAAGAGUAAACAAGUGAGAGGCAGAAGACAGCUCCCUCCUACAGAAAUACCACAGUUAAUAACUGUAGUAGGAAUGAGAGAAAUGUAAAAACCACCUUAGGCAAACACCAGCAUAAUUGUUGGGAGCAAGAUCUAUUUGAUGCAGAGAUUAGAGGGCAAAAGUUUUGAGACAGAUUAUUGUAUUGCUUCAAAUCUCUCCCCCAAGAUAUUUAUUAACAGGGACAAAUAGUAACUUCGUAGUAGAGAAACUUGACCAACACACUUCAACCAGGGAAUCAAAGUAUAAGACAAAACGACAGUGUAUAUCCCUGAUGUGAUAAUGCAUCGAGAAAGACAACAGCACUCCUGUGGUUUUCUUGCCAAAAAUGCAUAACCUCAAUCAAAUAAUGGAAAAACUUCAGAGAAAUCCCAGUGAGGACAUGGUGCAACGUACCUGAGUACUCUUCAAGAGGGCCAAGCUCCUGAAAGAUGAAUCCUGAGGAGCUGUCCCAGAUCGGAGGUGUCGAUAAGAAUGACAACUAAAUGCAACGUGGGGUUCCAGAUUGGCUUGGACUAGGAAAAGUGCGGUAGUGGAAAAACAAGUAAUCUGAAUAAAGUCUGUAGUUUAGUUAACAAUAUUUGUGUUUUCCCAAAACUUCUAAUCCCCAGUGAGAUGGUAUUUGGAGAUGAGACCUUCAGGAAGUGCUUAGGUCAUGAAAAUGGAGCCCUCAUGAAUGGGCUCAGUCCCCUUGUAAAAGAGCUGAGAGAAGACAGCUGUCUAUGAACCAACAAGGGGCUUUUGCCAGGCACCAGACCUGCGAAUGCCUUGGUUUUGGACUUCAGCCUCCAGAACUGUGAAACAUAAAUUGUUUUUUAAGCACCCAGCCUGUGUUGUUUUGUUGUAGCAGCCUGAGCAGACUAAGUCAGCCCUGUACCAGAAUGAAUUACCUGGAUUUGAUAUGGGUACCAUAGAUAUAUAAGACAUUAACCUUAGGAGAAACUGGGCAAAGAACAUUUGGGAACUCUGUGCUUUUGGGCGGAGGGGCAGUGAAAUACAGGUGGACUAGGGUAAAUUCAUCCCUCUUCUGGACCAAGUGAGCAAAGGAUAUUCAACAUUGGGCUGCCCUUGUGUUCCAGAAAGGGACAAACUGAUGAGAAACACAGGCAGAUGUGCUUUUAUGAGCACACCGCUGCCCAGUGUGUCUCUACUGGCUUGGCAGGUACAGAUGUCCCAAGUAGGAACAAACUUGGCAAAUUGGGGAAUGGCAAGGAGGCCAGACGGACAGGAGGUAUAAGCCUGCAUAGAUAGCAAGCAUCAGAUGUUGGGGCCACAACGGGUGAGGUUAGAGAAGAUAUUUUCACUCGUUCACAUCUCCUUCCAUCUCCAUUUAGUACAAUUUUAUUAUCUUACUGGGUUUUUCUCAGUUACCUGUAUAGUGUUAUAUAGUGUUUUGCCCUUAAACCUUUGUAGAUUGUCCAGCGGCGUGGGACAGCAUCUGUCCUGACACAGAAGAUAGGGAUCCUAUCUUUCCUCUACCUCCCCUGCUUCCACCUACUACCCAAGUCAGAUCACGUAGACUUUACUUGUACAUGAUCAAAGUUGCUUGACAACAGAUUGAAAAUACUUUUUUCAUGCUUCAUUCCUAUAUUGAGUCCCAAAGCUAGAAAUCCAUCAGCAGUUUUUAUGGCUGGAUGCAUUUUAUCUGGCAUUUCCUUCUCGCUAUGCUCUGUGGCCUUAAAAUGUUGAUACUACAUGAAUUGCCCAAGAUAAUGCCACAGUUUGGUUUGCUUCGUAUUUGGACCACAACUUGUGUUUACAGUUUUUCAUUUUGUUUAUUGAGUUUCUAAGUGCCUUUAUUUUUCCCCAUUGAUCAAAGACUGUGUACCUUCACCAUAUCCUCACAUUGACACAGCCUCUCAUUCUAAAUCUUGCCCCAGAUGCCCACCUCUUCCCCUGGAGCUGUAUGUUCCAGAGCCCUCCAGCCUCUUUGUUGUUCAGGCCUGCUGCCCAGCUGUCACUGUGGACAUCACCCCACAGGCCUCCAGACUGGCCCUGUACUCACCUGGUCCCAUGCUUUCCCCGUUCUUGGUGUUCUUUGUUCUCUGAAGUGUUACAAUCAUGACCUCAGAAAGGUAAUGUCUUUGCAUUACCAAAAACGCCUUUGAUUUGCCCUCACAGCCAGAUGUAGACUUCUAGAAUUUGCCCCCAGAAUUGUGAUGUCAGUGUCUUGCUGUUACAGUUUGAUAAUCCUUUGUAGGAGUCAUGAGUUUUACUUCUGGAUGCUUCCUUCUUUUCCCUAAUAUUCUGAAAUUUCACAAGAACAAGUGUAGAUGGGAUCUUUCCUUCAUUCACUCUACUCAGUGCAAGAGGGGUCCAUUCUCUUAAUUUCCUCUGUUCUCUGGUCCUAGAACUUCUGUGCUUGAUGUUGAAUUGAUCCCCACUACCAUCAUUUCUCAUUUAUUAUAUUCUUCCUCCUUUUCUUUUUGGGUCAUUUUUUCUAUGUCCUGAGCUAGAU
rnacentral:lncRNA from 1 species